AAUUUAGCGGAGAGUUUGAUCCUGGCUCAGGAUGAACGCUGGCGGCGUGCCUAAUACAUGCAAGUCGAACGGAGAUUGUAGCAAUACAUUCUUAGUGGCGAACGGGUGAGUAACGCGUUGGUGACCUGCCCCGAAGUGUGGGAUAACAGCCCGAAAGGGUUGCUAAUACCGCAUGUGGUUUUUCGGAUUAGAUGCCGGAUUUCUAAAGGAGAAAUUCGCUUCGGGAGGGGCCUGCGUCCCAUCAGCUAGUUGGUAGGGUAAAAGCCUACCAAGGCGAUGACGGGUAGGGGACCUGAGAGGGUGACCCCCCACAAUGGAACUGAAACACGGUCCAUACACCUACGGGUGGCAGCAGUAGGGAAUAUUGGUUAAUGGGCGAAAGCCUGAACCAGCAACGCCGCGUGUGCGAUGACGGCCUUCGGGUUGUAAAGCACUUUUUGAGGGGAUGAGGAAGGACAGUACCCUCAGAAUAAGUCUCGGCUAACUACGUGCCAGCAGCCGCGGUAACACGUAGGAGACUAGCGUUAUUCGGAUUUACUGGGCGUAAAGCGCGUGCAGGCGGUUCGGUUAGUUGGAUGUGAAAGCUCCUGGCUUAACUGGGAGAGGUCGUUCAAUACUGCCGGACUUGAGAGUGGUAGAGGGAGAUGGAAUUCCGGGUGUAGUGGUAAAAUGCGUAGAUAUCCGGAAGAACACCAGUGGCGAAAGCGGUCUCCUGGACCAUUUCUGACGCUCAGACGCGAAAGCUAGGGGAGCGAACGGGAUUAGAGACCCCGGUAGUCCUAGCUGUAAACGAUGUAGACUUGGCGUUGGAGGGGUUAAAUCCUUCAGUGCCGAAGCAAACGCGAUAAGUCUACCGCCUGGGGACUACGGCCGCAAGGUUAAAACUCAAAGGAAUUGACGGGGCCCCGCACAAGCAGCGGAGCGUGUGGUUUAAUUCGAUGAUACACGAAGAACCUUACCAGGGUUUGACAUGCUAGUGGUAGGGAUCCGAAAGGUGACCGACCCCUCGGGGAGCUAGCACAGGUGCUGCAUGGCUGUCGUCAGCUCGUGUCGUGAGAUGUUCGGUUAAGUCCGCUAACGAGCGCAACCCUUGCUGUGUGUUACAUGUGUCACACGGGACUGCCGGUCUUAAACCGGAGGAAGGUGGGGAUGACGUCAAGUCAGCAUGGCCUUUAUGUCCUGGGCUACACACACGCUACAAUGGCCGGUACAAUAGGUUGCGAAGCCGCGAGGCGGAGCCAAUCCUCAAAGCCGGCCUCAGUUCAGAUUGCAGGCUGCAACCCGCCUGCAUGAAGAUGGAGUUGCUAGUAACCGCAGGUCAGCUAUACUGCGGUGAAUACGUUCCCGGGGCUUGUACACACCGCCCGUCACGUCAUGGGAGCUGGUAACACCUGAAGCCGGUAGCUUAACCCGCAAGGGAGGGCGCCGUCGAGGGUGGGGCUGGUGACUGGGACGAAGUCGUAACAAGGUAGGUGUACCGGAAGGUGCGCCUGGAUCACCUCCUUUCU
rnacentral:rRNA from 1 species